GAUGAACGCUAGCUAACUCUAAGAGCAUGCAAGUCGAGGGGAAACGAUAUUGGAAGCUCCCUUCCGAUAGGCGUCGACCGGCGCACGGGUGAGUAACGCGUAUCCAACCUGCCCAUCACUUGGGGAUAACCUUGCGAAAGUAAGACUAAUACCCAAUGACGUCUCUAGAAGACAUCUGAAAGAGAUUAAAGAUUUAUCGGUGAUGGAUGGGGAUGCGUCUGAUUAGCUUGUUGGCGGGGUAACGGCCCACCAAGGCGACGAUCAGUAGGGGUUCUGAGAGGAAGGUCCCCCACAUUGGAACUGAGACACGGUCCAAACUCCUACGGGAGGCAGCAGUGAGGAAUAUUGGUCAAUGGGCGAGAGCCUGAACCAGCCAAGUAGCGUGCAGGAUGACGGCCCUAUGGGUUGUAAACUGCUUUUAUAAGGGAAUAAAGUGAGCCUCGUGAGGCUUUUUGCAUGUACCUUAUGAAUAAGGACCGGCUAAUUCCGUGCCAGCAGCCGCGGUAAUACGGAAGGUCCGGGCGUUAUCCGGAUUUAUUGGGUUUAAAGGGAGCGUAGGCCGGAGAUUAAGCGUGUUGUGAAAUGUAGACGCUCAACGUCUGCACUGCAGCGCGAACUGGUUUCCUUGAGUACGCACAAAGUGGGCGGAAUUCGUGGUGUAGCGGUGAAAUGCUUAGAUAUCACGAAGAACUCCGAUUGCGAAGGC
rnacentral:rRNA from 1 species